rnacentral:rRNA from 1 species
ACUCCUACGGGAGGCAGCAGUAGGGAAUCUUCCACAAUGGGCGAAAGCCUGAUGGAGCAACGCCGCGUGAGUGAUGAAGGUUAUCGGAUCGUAAAGCUCUGAUGCCAGGGAAGAACGUCCGCGUGAGUAACUGCACUCGGAGUGACGGUACCUGAGAAGAAAGCCCCGGCUAACUACGUGCCAGCAGCCGCGGUAAUA